GCUGGGCUCAGUGGCAGAGUGCUUGCCUAGCAUGUGUGAGGCACUGGGUUCAAUCCUCAGCAUCA
rnacentral:tRNA from 1 species